rnacentral:rRNA from 1 species
AUGGGAGACGGGAAGGCUACUGUGGUGGAUGGUGUGGAAGGAAGGUUGAGGAAUCUGAAGCUUUCAGAUGCAGAGAAGAAAAGUAUCAAGAUUGGGAAGAAACACACUUGUUCCUCUGAGGUGAGUAAGUUUCAGGCUGUGGGUAAGCUCAUGUCUGAAAAACCAGCAAAAGCAGAGUAUUUGAGUAGAGCAUUAAGUGGUGCGUGGUGCCCCUUUUCAAGAGUAGAAUGUAAGGGUUUGGGUAGAAACCAAUUUCUGUUUCGGUUUAAUGAUGAUGUGAGCAAGAACAAAGCAUUAAGGAAUGGACCUUGGAUGUUUAAUAAAGACUUACUGGUGAUGGAAGAUUUUGUGCCAAGCAAAACUAUAGAUGAGUAUGAAUUUAAGUCGAUUCCUAUAUGGAUCAGAGCUUAUGGCAUACCAAUAGGAAUGAUGAGCUCAGAAACAGGGGAAUUGGUAGGAGAGCAAAUUGGUGAAUUUUUGGAUGUUGAUUUGGACGACAAUGGAAGUGCAAUGGGUGUAUUUAUGCGUAUCAAAGUAAAGAUGGACAUAACAGUCCCUAUUAUGAGGUUCAUAACCAUAGAAUUACUCCCUCCGUCCGCAAAUAAGUGUACUUCUAGCCUUUGUUCUAAGUCAAAGUUUUAA